CCUACGGGUGGCAGCAGUGAGGAAUAUUGGUCAAUGGGCGCGAGCCUGAACCAGCCAAGCAGCGUGAAGGAUGACUGCCCUACGGGUUGUAAACUUCGGUUAUAAAGGAAUAAAGUGAGGCACGUGUGCCUUUUUGUAUGUACUUUAUGAAUAAGGAUCGGCUAACUCCGUGCCAGCAGCCGCGGUAAUACGGAGGAUCCGAGCGUUAUGCGGAUUUAUUGGGUUGAAAGGGAGCGUAGAUGGGUUGUUAAGUCAGUUGUGAAGGUUUGCGGCUCAACCGUAAAAUUGCACUUGAUACUGGCAGCCUUGAGUACAGUUGAGGUAGGCGGAAUUCGUGUUGUAGCGGUCCACUGCUUAUC
rnacentral:rRNA from 1 species